rnacentral:rRNA from 1 species
AUUGAACGCUGGCGGCACGCCUAACACAUGCAAGUCGAGCGGUAACAUGAACUGUAGCAAUACAGUUUGAUGACGAGCGGCGGACGGGUGAGGAACACGUAGGAACCUGCCCAAGAGAGGGGGACAACCAAGGGAAACGUUGGCUAAUACCGCAUAAUCUCUUAGGAGAAAAGUUGCCCGUAAGGGUAGCACUUUUGGAGGGGCCAGCGUCCGGUUAGUUAGUUGGUGAGGUAACGGCUCACCAAGACGAUGAUCGGUAACUGGUCUGAGAGGGCGACCAGUCACACUGGGACUGAGACACGGCCCAGACUCCUACGGGAGGCAGCAGUGGGGAAUCUUGGACAAUGGGGGCAACCCUGAUCCAGCGAUGCCGCGUGGGUGAAGAAGGCCUUCGGGUUGUAAAGCCCUUUAGGCUGGGAAGAAGGUUGUGAGAUGAAUAAUCUUGCAAUUUGACGGUACCAGCAGAAUAAGCACCGGCAAACUCUGUGCCAGCCGCCGCCGUAA